UACGUAGGGGGCAAGCGUUGUCCGGAAUCAUUGGGCGUAAAGAGCGCGUAGGCGGUCCGGUAAGUCCGCUCUGAAAGUCCGGGGCUCAACCCCGGGAGGCGGGCGGAUACUGUCGGGCUAGAGUCCGGAAGAGGCGAGUGGAAUUCCUGGUGUAGCGGUGAAAUGCGCAGAUAUCAGGAGGAACACCAAUGGCGAAGGCAGCUCGCCGGGACGGUACUGACGCUGAGGCGCGAAAGCGUGGGGAGCGAACAGG
rnacentral:rRNA from 1 species